GGCAUGGUAGCACAGUGGUUAGCGCUGCUGCCUCGCAAUAAAGAGGUGCCGGGUUCGAGCCCAGCCGGCCA